UUAAAGUGCUUGAAUUGUGUCUGUUGCGCCUCGAUAAUAAAAGGGUCAAGCAUUAAUCAUCCCACUAAAGGCAAUAAACUAAAUUUGAAUGACUAUGCCACAUGUGAAUCGAAAGGGGUCAUAUACAUGUUGAAGUGCCCAUGUGGCCUAGUCUAUGUGGGGCAAACAAUUAGAAAUGUAAAAACCAGGAUUAAAGAGCAUAAAGGGGACAUAAGGAAUUAUAAACCAGGAUCUCAGACAGAUACGACUGUAGCCCGACAUUUUAAUGAGGCAAAACAUAGCCACGGGCAAUUGAAAUGGGUGGUCCUCGAAGUAGUACAACCAUUAAGUCGAGGUGGUAACUUUAAGCAAAAGAUGCUACAACGUGAAGCCAAAUGGAUUUCUAAAUUGAAUUCACUAGCCCCAGUUGGGCUUAAUGAUGCCUGGAGUUUGAAAUGCUUUUUAUAAGAAUUGUAAUAUUUACUCUUAUUUAUUUCAGAUAUUAAGUGAUGCCUAUCCUCUCAGCUGGGGGUAAGAGUGUAUCUGAAGAUAUGGAACCUUGGCACUUGGACACUACAUGUACACUGGAGAUCACUGGGACUUUUAAACGUUUUAUACGUUCUAUGUUUUCUACCUAUUUUACACUUUUACUCUGGACUAAUGAGUUAAUUGGUGGGAGGAGGAGCACUGUUUGGCAAUUAAGGCUAUAAGAUGUGGUUUGAUCAUGUGAUUGUUACACUUGAGAAAGGGUCCAUGUGACUCGAAACAUGUCGUGUGUACAAUAAAGCACUAACGCAGCAGA